AGAGCAGGCCAAACGAUCGCUCGCGUCUUCAGCUGUUUGCUGGCGAUGCGGGAGGAAAGUCCGAGCUCCGGAGGGCAGGGUGCUCCGUAACGCGGAGUCGUGGCAACGCGAAGGAAAGUGCCACAGAAAAGAUACCGCCUUGUGAAAAACUGACAGGGUAAGGGUGAAAAGGUGCGGUAAGAGCGCACCAGUUCCUCGGGUGACUGGGGAAGCUUGGUAAACCCCACCUGGAGCAAGACCAAAUAGGGAAGCGCUUGAGGGUGGCCCGCCCGAGCUUCCGGGUUGGUCGCAAGAGGUAUUGGGCAACUGAUACCCAGAGAUGAAUGAUCGUUGUUCCGUAAAGGGUGACCGAUACGGAAAACAGAACUCGGCUUAUGGCCUGCUCUGACU
rnacentral:RNase_P_RNA from 1 species